rnacentral:rRNA from 1 species
AUUGAACGCUGGCGGCAGGCUUAACACAUGCAAGUCGAGCGAGCGGCGGACGGGUGAGUAAUGUGUGGGAAACUGCCUGAUGGAGGGGGAUCACCACUGGAAAAGGUAGCUAAUAACGCAUACCAUCAGAUGUACCCAGAUGGGAUUCGCUAGUAGGUGGGGUAAUGGCUCACCUGGGCGGCGAUCCCUAGCUGGUCUGAGGGGUGGACCAGCCAAUUGGGAACGGGGACACGGUCCAGACUCCUACGGGGGGCGUCGGGGGGGAUUAUUGCACAUGGAGCGCAAUCCUGAUGCAGCCAGGCGGCUGGGUGGAAGAAGGCCUUCGGUUUGAAAAGUACUUUAAUCGAGGAGGCGUUACUCGCAGAAGAAGCACCGGCUAACUCCGUGCCAGCAGCCGCGGUAAUUC